rnacentral:rRNA from 1 species
UUCCUACGGGGGGCAGCAGUGGGGAAUAUUGGGCAAUGGGCGCAAGCCUGACCCAGCAACGCCGCGUGAAGGAAGAAGGCUUUCGGGUUGUAAACUUCUUUUAAGAGGGAAGAGAAGAAGACGGUACCUCCUGAAUAAGCCACGGCUAACUACGUGCCAGCAGCCGCGGUAAUACGUAGGUGGCAAGCGUUGUCCGGAUUUACUGGGUGUAAAGGGUGCGUAGGCGGCUUGGCAAGUCAGUAGUGAAAUCCAUGGGCUUAACCCAUGAACUGCUAUUGAAACUGUCGAGCUUGAGUGAAGUAGAG